rnacentral:rRNA from 1 species
GCAAGUCGAGCGGAAUUUUCGGAUUUAGCGGCGAACGGGUGAGUAACACGUAGGUAAUCUACCUCCAGGUUUGGGAUAACUUCGGGAAACCGAAGCUAAUACCAGAUAGAAUCGAUUGGUGGCGACACUGAUUGAUUAAAGAUUUAUUGCCAGGAGAUGAGCCUGCGUCUGAUUAGCUUGAUGGUGGGGUAAAAGCCUACCAUAGCGACGAUCAGUAGCCGGCCUGAGAGGGUGAAC